UACAGAGGUCUCAAGCGUUGUUCGGAUUCAUUGGGCGUAAAGGGUGCGUAGGUGGCGCUGUAAGUCGGGUGUGAAAUUUCGGAGCUUAACUCCGAAACUGCAUUCGAUACUGCGGUGCUUGAGGACUGGAGAGGAGACUGGAAUUCAUGGUGUAGCAGUGAAAUGCGUAGAGAUCAUGAGGAAGACCAGUGGCGAAAGCGGCUUCCUGGUCCAGCACCGACGUUCAGGCACGAAAGCGUGGGGAGCAAACAGG
rnacentral:rRNA from 1 species